rnacentral:rRNA from 1 species
UACGUAGGGGGCAAGCGUUGGUCCGGAAUCAUUGGGCGUAAAGAGCGUGUAGGUUGUCCGAUAAGUCUGCUGUGAAAGUCCAGGGCUCAACCCUGGGAUGCCGGGUGGAUACUGUCGGGGCUAGAGGUGCGGAAGAGGCGAGUGGAAUUCCCGGUAGUAGCGGUGAAAUGCGCAGAUAUCGGGAGGAACACCAAUUGCGA